rnacentral:tRNA from 1 species
GCCGAAGUGGCGGAACUGGUAGACGCGCUAGGUUCAGGGUCUAGUGGAUGUAUGUCCGUGCGAGUUCGAGUCUCGCCUUCGGCACCA